rnacentral:rRNA from 1 species
CAGUCGCCGCGGGAAUACGAAGGGUGUAAGCGUUAAUCGGAAUUACUGGGCGUAAAGCGUGCGUAGGCGGUGAGUUAAGUCUGCUGUGAAAUCCCCGGGCUCAACCCGGGAAUGGCAGUGGAUACUGGCUCGCUAGAGUGUGUCAGAGGAUGGUGGAAUUCCCGGUGUAGCGGUGAAAUGCGUAGAGAUCGGGAGGAACAUCAGUGGCGAAGGCGGCCAUCUGGGACAACACUGACGCUGAGGCACGAAAGCGUGGGGAGCAAACAGGAUUAGAUACCCCAGUAGUCCCUGUCUCUUAUAC